rnacentral:lncRNA from 1 species
GUGAGUGAUAACUGUCUUCAAAUAGCUGGGAGAAAGGGGGGAAUGCCGUUUCAUAGGUGGAAACCAUCACAUCUUUGAGUUUCUUACAUAGAGUGGUGUUAUGAAGACUGAAGGGAGCACAUAAGUCUGAGGUGACUGCACCAACAAUGUCAGAGAAUAGGUAAAUCAACUUUGUAGGGCCAUAGGGAGAGGAUGGUUGAUGAUGCUGGAAGACUAAAUUUAUGUUUUUUGUUCUUUGUUUUAAUAAUUUCAGGAUGAAUAAUUUGACCCUUUACAAUUUUGAAGGAACUGAAAUUAGACUGCUAAUGCUAUAGCAUUGUAUAGGACAAAGAGAAAUACAGACCACAGGCAAAACAGUGUAAAACAAAACAUAACAUAAAACAAAAUUUUAAACGCCCUCACAUUUUUGAUGUUAUUGCUAUAGGACAGUUAGGAAAUCAACACGGCUUAAAAUAAGACAGCAGAGAUACCUCUUUGGAUUUUUAUAGAGGUUCUAGAUUUAUGGCCUAGAUUAUGGAGUCAUCUGCAACGUCUUGGAUUCUGAUGUCAUAUCAGAGAAUGAAAUCCAUGGAGGGUAUUAGAGACAUAUUUGUGGUCUUGAUAUGGAACCUGAAAGAAAAGUUUAGCAUCAAAGUUAAAGUGGUAGAAAGGAGGCAUGGAAGAAGUGUUCAACACAUCUUGGGAAAAUCAAGAGGUCCAUCUUAUGGAUGGAAAGAAAGAAAGAAAUCCCGAGGGAUUCAUAAGCCACUGAGAUUGCUGAAUUUUCCCCUGGGUCUGUGGUUCCUACAGGAAGACUCGCAGCCUCACCGCAGGAGCUGAAGCGGUGUAUGGGAGAGAAGCAGAGUACUACAGUGACAAGUACACUGGGCAUGCCAAGAGGAUACCUACAAUCUAGUAUCUGAUGUGAAUGUUUCACUCAAAUAAAUGUGG